CAUUCAUAAAAGUAGCAAUGGUGGAGUGAGGCUUGGUAAUCUGGCAUGAUUGAGCAUCACUAGUUUCUUGGCCCUUGUGGGGGCCAUCCUCUCCUCUUCACUCUUUUUCAUUUUGCUUUUUGAACUGAAAAACAUAAAUAGCAACUCUCUGCAAAAGUGACUAUUUAUUGGGAUUGGUUUUAAUUAUAUUGGUUGUUUCUAUUAGUCUCUUGAGCAUUUAAAAUAAUGUGGACGUUAAGAUGGAUGUCUAUUAACUUGAUAAUAGAAAAUGGAUAAGAUUAGGAUGAACACAUCCGUUAGGGAGUGCAUGUGGUGCACAUUGGAGAUAAAACGAGAGGGUCAAUUAAGAUAGUUUGGCUUUGUCCAAUGUAGAGCAUUAAAUGACCUAGUAUGAAAGAGUAUGAGUUAGUCGUGGAAGGAGAGAAGAUAAAGGGGAUUUAUAAAUUUUGAAUAUUGAUGUGGAAU
rnacentral:misc_RNA from 1 species